rnacentral:lncRNA from 1 species
ACUUGAGGGAAGGCAGUACAGAGCAGCAGCCUAGGGAUAAGAAGGAAUUCAUGUUAGCUUUUCUAUUUUCUGAAUCUUACCCACCUGAGAGUCCAAGAAAGAAGGCAAGACAGCUAUAUAGAGCCCCUCCCUCGAGUCUAGCAAUGAACAAGUAAGUAGAGACAAGGAAGAGGGGAAAUGCAGUAUCGUUAUGUUAUAGCGAGAUCAUCAGAUCAUGGGUGAAGCAAUCGUUCAUCAAAAAGUUCUUUAUCAGCCGGCGGAAAGCGUGGUAAUUCAUUCAUUUCAUCGGAAAAGGAUCGAACAGGAGUCAUCGCAUCGUUUCUAGA